CGUGAAACCGUUUAGGGGUAAACCUGAGAAACCCGAAAGGUCGAAGGAAGAAAUUCAUUCGCGUUUCCACGAGAACGUCGAGCGGUCGAGCGACGCGAGAYGUUUUUACGUCUAGCGCGCCCUCCGCACGUCGAGUUCUCGACGAACGCGUGCACUUUUCUUCUGGUAGGACGUCGCGAUCCGUUGGGCGUCAGUCUAAGGCGAGCGGUGGAGCCCGCCGGUAGCUUCGCGCUUCCGGCGAACCCGUUCGUUUCCCGGCUGACUCGCUCGACGGUAUUCGAAUGGUUAGGGGCCGCUCAUUUUYGGAGCGUUCGACUCUCGGCAAGCGCGUCAGACGCGUCGGCGAUCGGACCCGGUGCCGAUUCCGGCCUCUGACGACUGUUGGCCGUUGAAGUUCUCGAACAGACCCCGUCGACCGAUCGGCGACGCUAUAGCUUUGGGUACUUUCAGGACCCGUCUUGAAACACGGACCAAGGAGUCUAGCAUGUGCGCGAGUCAUUGGGAAUCACUAAACCUAAAGGCGUAAUGAAAGUAAAGGUCUUCCUCGCGAAGACCAAGGGAAGAUGGGCGGUUCGCCGUUAAAAGCGGCCGUUCGGCAUUCCCGGGGCGUCUCGUUCUCAUCGCGAGAAGAGGCGCACCAAGAGCGUACACGCUGGGACCCGAAAGAUGGUGAACUAUGCCUGGUCAG
rnacentral:rRNA from 1 species